AACGAUUCAGGAUUUUGUCAAUCAAUCUCCUUCAUUUUCCUACUCUCUCCAUCUCAAAAUGAGAUUCCAUUUUAUCUUUUCAGGACAUCCAAAAAGAUUCCAUUUUCACAAUUAAUCAAUUAACCAAAUCUCCUUAUAUUCAACUAGUUUGUAAUAUUGAUCAUGUUUUUUUAAGUCAAAUUUUUUCUUUAAAAUUUUACUGUAAUUGAUGAACUCUCAUUUUGGGACAAAGGGAAUUCUAUAUUCACAAAGACCCAUUCCCCAAUUAAUCACAUAAUAAAAUAACAAUCACACCCCAAUAUUUUUCCCAAAAGCCAACCCUUUCAAUAGGCAAAGAAAAAUGACACUAAAUUAAUUAAUUUUGGAGAAAAUCCAAUCAAAAUAAAAUCAAGUCCAUUCAAAAAUGUAUUCAGUCACUCUUUAAAUUAAAAUCAACAGCGGCACAAAUAUAUGUAUUUUAAGUAUAUACAGAGAGAGAGAGUUGAGAGAGCAAAUACCAGCCAUUGAAAUUUCUGCUACUGAAUCAUUACCGUCAGUAUCAUCUCUUACAUAAUUCGUGUAAUCAGUCCACAAAAAUUCAUAUCACAGCGAUACAAACGGGAAAGAAGAAAAAAUUGUAGAAGAGAGCUUACAAUUGUUUGGGCUCGAAAGAUUAUUACUUCAUUAUGUAAAAUAGAGGGUUUAGAG
rnacentral:lncRNA from 1 species